rnacentral:rRNA from 1 species
GGACAUUCGUGACCGACUAUAACUGGUUGAGUACAGAACAGCUUAAAAAAUUUUUGCGCAUUAUAUUAUAACAUAUCCCAAUGCCGAGUAUGUUAUCGAAAGUCAUUUUGCUUUACAAGAAUAAUAAACUUCAACAACGCUGGAUUUCUGAAGUCAAACAGAAGCUUCCGCAUUUUUCUCAAGAUGUGGAAGAUGUAAACAAACGUAAGAAAUGGCGAGAUUUCAGAAAAUGAUAUAGUCCGUAUGGCAAUGGUUUUCGAAGGAAACAAUUGCCAUUUGACCCCUUUAGUCCGCGCCGUCAACGAUGAGUGUUAGGUUUUGUCAUGUGUGGCAGAGCCAUAGCUAACGCGUUAAACACUCCGCCUGGGGACUACGGUCGCAAGAUUAAAACUCAAAGGAAUUGGCGGUAGCUCAAACAAGCGGCGGAACAUGCCGUUUAAUUCGAAACAACGCGCAAAACCUUACCAACCCUUGACAUGUUUUUGGAAACCUUGUUGUAAUAGCAAGACUCGCAAUUCACAGGUGCUGCAUGGCUGUCGUCAGUUCGUGGCGUGAGUCGUUUGGUUCAUUCCUGCAACGAACGAAACCCCUAGUAGGUGUUGCUCAGCAACAGCGAGCUUAUUGGCUUGCCAGUUGUUGCACUCACCUAUGACUGCCCACGAUAUGCUGGAGGAAGGUGGGGAUCACGUCAAGUCGUCAUGGCCCUUAUGGGUUGGGCUACAGGUGUGUUACAAUGGCGACUACAGCGGCUGGCGAUGGUGCCAGCCGGAGCGAAAGCUAAAAAGUCGUCGUAGUUCGGAUUGUUCUCUGCAACUCGAGAACAUGAAGUCGGAGUCGCUAGUAAUCGCGGAUCAGCACGCCGCGGUGAAUAUGUACCUGGGCUGUGCACACCCCGCCCAUCACGUUCGGAAAGUUUUAUGCGGUGGAAGGGGAAGACCCGUCGUUUAAUACAUACGUAAGUACGGCGUAUUCCUCGAAUCUGUGUAGGGUAAUUCGAAUGAAGUUGUAACACGGUAGCUGUAGGGGAACCUGCAGCUG